rnacentral:sRNA from 1 species
AUUUCACCCUCCUGUGUUUCCUGGUGGGUGUCUCCUCAGCCUCCCUGUCCCCACCUCCUCUUCUUGGCUGUGGCCUCAUUUUUGACCUGUAUCCCCACUUCCCUGCUGCCCCGUCUCUCAUUACUACUAAUACUAAUGCCUCGUCUCUGUGCCCCCAUCUCUGCCUCACUUCCUGUCACUUAAGCCCCCAUCUUUGGCCCACCUCAGGUGCCUACUGCCGCCUCUGCACUGUCCCUGGAGCUGCAGGAAGUGGAGCCCCUGGGGCUACCCCAAGCCUCCCCUAGCCGCACCCGUUCCCCUGAUGUCAUCUCCUCAGCUUCUACUGCCCUGUCCCAGGACAUCCCUGAGAUUGCGUCUGAGGCCCUGUCCCGUGGUUUUGGCUCCUCUGCACCAGAGGGCCUUGAGCCAGACAGUAUGGCUUCAGCUGCCUCGGCACUGCACCUGCUGUCCCCACGGCCCCGGCCAGGGCCUGAGCUCGGCCCCCAGCUUGGCCUUGAUGGAGGUCCUGGGGAUGGAGAUCGGCAUAGUACCCCCUCCCUCCUGGAGGCAGCCUUGACCCAGGAGGCCUCAACUCCUGAUAGUCAGGUUUGGCCCACAGCACCUGACAUUACUCGUGAGACCUGCAGCACCCUGGCAGAAAGCCCCAGGAAUGGCCUUCAGGAAAAGCACAAGAGCCUAGCCUUCCACCGACCACCAUAUCACCUGCUGCAGCAACGUGACAGCCAGGAUGCCAGUGCUGAGCAAAG